UACAGAGGGGGCAAGCGUUGUUCGGAAUUACUGGGCGUAAAGGGCGCGUAGGCGGCCAACUAAGUCAGACGUGAAAUCCCUCGGCUCAACCGGGGAACUGCGUCUGAUACUGGGUGGCUUGAAUCCGGGAGAGGGAUGCGGAAUUCCAGGUGUAGCGGUGAAAUGUGUAGAGAUCGGGAGGAACACCGGUGGCGAAGGCGGGUCUCUGGGCAAUUCCUGACGCUGAGGCGCGAAAGCGUGGGGAGCAAACGGG
rnacentral:rRNA from 1 species